CAAGUGGCAUUUAAGAGCAUGGAGAGCAAAGGAAGACGCUUCUCCAGAAAAAAAGCAGAAUCCCUACAGACCGGGAGAGUCGGAGUGACGCUGGGAGGAGAGUCGGUUUGUAUUCAGAAACUGUCAGCAAACCUUCGAACCUAAGACCUCAGAUACACUGAAGUGCAAGGGCUCUUUGGCGGGAAGCUGGAUCAAAGAUGGAGUAGCUGGGACUUGAACUAUCAGUCCAAUAUGGAAAGGCAGCAUCUUAACCCAUUACACAACAAAGCCACUCCUUUUUAUGUACAAAUGUGAGUAUGAAGAACUUGAGAGGUGGCUGUUGGGGGGCAGCAGAUAAGGUGUCACUUGGAAGGUCCUUAUCCUACAUCAGAGUGCCUCGGUUUGAGUUCCAAUUCUGUUUCUGAUUCCAGCUUUUUGCUGCUGUGCACCUGGGGAGGCAGCAGGUAACGGCUCAACUGACCGGGUUCCUGACACCCAUGUGGGAGACCUGGAUUAAAUUCCUGGCUUCCAACUUCA